AAACAAAUGUCUGCAGCCACUUUUUUUUUUUCCUUCCACGCGCACACUCCUCACAGCCAAUGGCAGCGAGAGAGCCACUGACAACAUCCCCAUCCCGCCGCAGCGCACAGAGGCAGCGCCGCUGACAAGUGAACGGCCCAUGCCGCUGGAUGACGACAAUUAAGGGCAGUUUUUGUUAUUUAUUAUUAAUAAACAUUGACGCGACACGUUACAAUAUAAGGUGUUUGGCUACAAAUAAAAAGUUUUCUGAAAAUGCUUAAAAACAACAACAACAACAACCAUCUGCAUCACUUUAACUUGUAUAAUGGCAACACUGACACGAAAUGUAAUAAGGCGCAGGUUAAACGAAAAAAGGUGUUUUAAAAGUGUCCUCUCAUUCACAGAGACAGUCAGUGUGCUGCCAUGUCCCUGCCUGCACCAAACAUGAGGGGACUGUCACCGGGAGACACCGAGGAACUGGACACACACAGAAAUAUCAAGGAGGCAGUUAUGGAUCAUAACCCCUGGAUUCCUUUUUAACCUGCAACAGAGAAGGAGCUGCAACACAAUCCAGGAGUUUGCCAGCAAACAAACGGAUGCAAUUAAAACACAACACACACUUGCCUUCAGAUCAUCAAUGAGGAAGGCAAAGUCAAGACUGGCAGAAAACAGACAAGGACAAAUAAAAGGCGGGAGAGAAGACUCCGCUGCCUCAAGGUUAACACUGACUCAAAGGAAACGUGUGAAGAGCUCGUCUCGGCACAAUGUGGACACGUCACCGACUGUGGAUCAUAGCAGCUGCACUCGUGAUGUUUUAAUUAAUGAUUUUUAUUUAAGUGAAUUAAAACAAUUUCCCCUUU